rnacentral:rRNA from 1 species
ACGAAGGGGGCUAGCGUUGUUCGGAAUCACUGGGCGUAAAGCGCGCGUAGGCGGACCGUUAAGUCGGAGGGGAAAGCUUGGAGCUCAACUCCAGACAAGAGUACGAUACUGGCGGUCUCGAGUCCGGGAGAGGUGAGUGGAACUGCUAGUGUAGAGGUGAAAUGCGUAGAUAUGAGCAAGAACACCAGUGGCGAAGGCGGCUCACUGGCUCUUUUCUGACGCUGAGGUGCGAAAGCGUGGGGAGCAAUUAG